CAAUAGCGUAUAUUAAAGUUGUUGCAGUUAAAAAGCUCGUAGUUGGAUUUCGGGGCAGCCUGGCUGGUCCGCCGCAAGGCGAGUACUGGUCAGCCGCCCUUCCUCGCGAAAGCCCCGACUGCUCUUUAUUGCAGUGGUCGGGUAGUUCGGGACGUUUACUUUGAAAAAAUUAGAGUGUUCAAGGCAGGCCUACGCCUGAAUACAUUAGCAUGGAAUAAUGGAAGAGGACCUCGGUCCUAUUUUGUUGGUUUCCAGGACCGAAGUAAUGAUUAAGAGGGACAGUUGGGGGCAUUCGUAUUUAAUUGUCAGAGGUGAAAUUCUCGGAUUUAUGAAAGACGAACAACUGCGAAAGCAUUUGCCAAGGAUGUUUUCAUUAA
rnacentral:rRNA from 1 species